rnacentral:rRNA from 1 species
CCUACGGGUGGCUGCAGUAGGGAAUAUUGCUCAAUGGGGGAAACCCUGAAGCAGCAACGCCGCGUGGAGGAUGAAGGUUUUAGGAUUGUAAACUCCUUUUGUUAGAGAAGAUUAUGACGGUAUCUAACGAAUAAGCACCGGCUAACUCCGUGCCAGCAGCCGCGGUCAUACGGAGGAUGCAAGCGUUACCCGGAAUCACUGGGCGUAAAGAGUGCGUAGGCGGGGAAAUAAGUUAGAUGUGAAAUCCUGUAGCUUAACUACAGAACUGCAUUUGAAACUGUUACUCUGGAGAGUGGGAGAGGUAGGUGGAAUUCUUGGUGUAGGAGUAAAAUCCGUAGAGAUCAGGAGGAAUACUCAUUGCGAAGGCGAGCUGCUGGAACAUUACUGACGCUGAUGCACGAAAGCGUAGGGAGCAAACGGGAUUAGAUACCCUUGUAGUC